GACGAACGCUGGCGGCGUGCUUAACACAUGCAAGUCGAACGGAAAGGCCCUGCUUUUGUGGGGUGCUCGAGUGGCGAACGGGUGAGUAACACGUGAGUAACCUGCCCUUGACUUUGGGAUAACUUCAGGAAACUGGGGCUAAUACCGGAUAGGAGCUCCUGCUGCAUGGUGGGGGUUGGAAAGUUUCGGCGGUUGGGGAUGGACUCGCGGCUUAUCAGCUUGUUGGUGGGGUAGUGGCUUACCAAGGCUUUGACGGGUAGCCGGCCUGAGGGGGUGACCGGCCACAUUGGGACUGAGAUACGGCCCAGACUCCUACGGGAGGCAGCAGUGGGGAAUAUUGCACAAUGGGCGGAAGCCUGAUGCAGCAACGCCGCGUGCGGGAUGACGGCCUUCGGGUUGUAAACCGCCUUCGCCUGUGACGAAGCGUGAGUGACGGUAAUGGGUAAAGAAGCACCGGCUAACUACGUG
rnacentral:rRNA from 1 species